ensembl:lncRNA
UUACUAAAGAUCCCUGCCUACCUGAGGUCUUCUGAAGGAGUCUCUCAAAACUUAUACUGAAAGGUUUCUUUUAACAAAAUGAGAAAAUUCAUGAUCAAGCAUAUUAAUGUCCCGAUGAAAUGAAAAAUUAGUCAAGAGGAGGUGAAGCAAUGGAAUAAACCUAAGGAACUUUGAGGUAGAUAUCUUGCUGUCAUGACAGCAGAGAAGCAUGAAGCAUGAACUCAAGCAUAUCCUGAAGUUAAACAAAUAAACAACAAAACCCUUAAAAACAGGUGAAGGAGGAAGAUAAAAGAAAAAUGAAUUUCCACAGUUUUAAAAACAUCUAACGAGGCUUCAGAUUCUUGUUUUUUGAGCAAGUGUUUUAAUAAUACUACUUGGAUUUGUAUACUGAUGAUCAUAGUGGAUUUUAACUCUUUGAAAACUCAUCUGACUUUCUCUGGGAUGCUGCUGGGUUUAUUAGCCAAGGAUCUUGUAUCAGAGAUAUUCCAUUUUGGGUACAGAAAGGAUUGAAGGAAUUCUUAAAUAAGAUAUACACAUUGCACAAUCUAAACCUGAAUGAAUGUAAGUCUGUAUGUAUUGCACACCUUCCUUUCUUAAAAUCAAUUUUAGAACAGCUGUUACAUUCAGCAGUAAAUAUCUCUGGCUGUCUUUCAGAGCCUUAUUCUCCCUUUUGUCAACACAUUGUCCUUUAUGCACUUGAAAAAUAUCUUUAAACCU